rnacentral:ncRNA from 2 species
GGUCAUGAGUGUCGGCAGCAGGCCCUGGCUCGCUGACCGGCAACCUCCCGCGCGGCGGGUGCUCCAGGUGAGGCCGGCUGGGACGAUCCCGGUUCCCCAGGCC